rnacentral:lncRNA from 1 species
AUCACAAACACUUUCACUGAACCCACAUACAUGUUAAAUUGUUUUCUUUUUAAAUAAUUUUUAUUCUCAAAUAUUCUACUUUCUACUGCUUUCCAUAGCAUUGAAGAAAGAGUAGUUCCACAGAUUUACGUGGAAACAAACAACAAUGGAAGAGACAAAGAAGAAGGAAUUUUAGUCGAAAUUUCUUUACUUUAGAAGACUUGGAAGUAUGCUAAUUUGAAUGAAGAAUUCACGACUAUUUAGUACCAACCUGCCAACAAGCGUCUGACUUUGAUUUCAUACGUGAAAAGGCUAGACCUUUUCAAGGCAUGGAUUACUGAGGUUAACACAAGCAUCCACACAAUUGGAAAGUCUUAUAUUUCAAGACUAAGAACUGGAAUUUCAUUGGUUAACCUCAAGCAAAAAAGAGGAUGCCUGGAAAAUUCAACUCCUAUAAUACGGAAAGGAAAAGGUCAGAAGAGGAUAAUUAAGAAAUGGUAGGUAGAGGGUGUAGUGGUCUAGAUCUGUAGUGUUUUGCCUCUAUACAAGUAAUGCUCAGUCAAACAUCCGUAAGUGAUAGAACUGCUUGGGGCUCUAUGUCUGCCUGAAGCCAAAGCUUCUGCUGGCUCAAUUAUCCCUUGGCCUCUCACAUCCAAGGAGGUAAUCAGUGCAUAUAGCCCAGAGAACGUAAGAUGAAUGAAAAAGAAAGUGUCAUAAGUUUGACAUAGAGGAAACAAUAGUGGGGAAAGGAUUUAGAUUCAUAAUCAAGGGCAAAUAAGAAAAGGGUAGAAACUAUAGCUUCAUCAAAAUGGCAGAAUACAGUAACCUGAAAACCUAUCCACAACCUAAGAAAUGCUGGAUAUCACAUGAAAAUUAGUUCACAGAUGAGCUCACAAGGAAGAAAGGAAAAUAGAAAGAUGACAGAAAUGAAGAAGAAAUGAAAACAAAAGUGGAAAGUAAAAUGAAAUGAUACUGUAGCAGCCUGGACUUUAUCUUUGGCUCCUUGGGAAACUAGGAGCAUGGAUUAUAACUUCUUUCAGGGGUGGAUCUUGAGCCCACAUGAGGUGGAGCUUUGAAGCUGGGCUCCCCUUCAAUAAAGUUAGGACUUCAAAGGUCUUCA